CCUACGGGCGGCAGCAGUGGGGAAUAUUGCACAAUGGGGGAAACCCUGAUGCAGCGACGCCGCGUGAGUGAAGAAGGAUUGCGGUAGGUAAAGCUCUAUCAGCAGGGAAGAAAAUGACGGUACCUGAGUAAGAAGCCCCGGCUAACUACGUGCCAGCAGCCGCGGUAAUACGUAGGGGGCAAGCGUUAUCCGGAUUUACUGGGUGUAAAGGGAGCGUAGACGGCAGCACAAGUCUGGCGUGAAAUGCCGGGGCUUAACCCCGGAACUGCUUUGGAAACUGUGCGGCUAGAGUGCAGGAGAGGUAAGUGGAAUUCCUAGUGUAGCGGUGAAAUGCGUAGAUAUUAGGCGGAACACCAGUGGCGAAGGCGGCUUACUGGACUGUAACUGACGUUGAGGCUCGAAAGCGUGGGGAGCAAACAGGAUUAGAUACCCCGGUAGUC
rnacentral:rRNA from 1 species